rnacentral:lncRNA from 1 species
AGAAGAGCUGCCUCUGUCCCUGCUCCUCAUCCUUGUCCCCCGACACAUGCUAAGCAGUGAGAGACUUGUUAUGGGUUGACUUGUGUCCCUCACUGCUCCCCCCCAACACCCUCAGUUCCUAUGUUGCAGUCUUACCCUCCAGGACUUCAGGAUGUGACCAUAUUUUUGGAGACAGGGCCUAUAAAGAGGUGGUUAAAUUAAAAUGAGACGAUCGGGAUGGGCUCUUAUCCAAGCUGACUGAUGCCCUUAUAAGAAGAGAAGAUUUGGACGCGAGAGAGACACCAGAGAUGCACGCCAGCACAGAGGAAAGGCCACACGAGGAUGCAGUGUGAAGGUGGUUGUCUGCAGGCCAAGGAGCGAGACCUCGGGAGAAACCAAUCCUGCUAACACCUUGACUUUGGCCUUCCAGCCCCUAGUCUGUGUAUUUUGUUGACCACACUGACAUGACCUCCCUCUGGGCUGUAGAGGUUCCACUGGUCAGACUGGGACUCAGGAAAGUCAGUCUGAAAUCAUUCGGCUUUACAUCCCCUUCAGCAAUGGGUGGAAUCCACAAGAGCUCCUGCAAGCUCGCUGCCCUCCCCAGGUGACCUGUGAUGACCGCUGCCUUGAUGCCUCCAAAGGUCUCUCCUCUCCCUGGAUACAGAGUUCUGUGAAGUGAUUGGCGGGGGAGCCCAGCCCUGCAAUCUUUACAGCAAAGGAGGCCAAGAUAGGUGAGGAGGCUGGGCUGUGAAAGUGGGUGUGUCCUUGCUGCUCUAUCCACCGAUAUUUACCGUAUUUAACGUAUAUGAGAUCCGUGAUGCAUUGCUUUGAGGCGGGGAUGCUAUCUUCUUCCAUUUGUAUCCUGGCCCCUGGGAUUCUGCUUGGCGUGAAGGCAGUUCAUAAGGGUCUCUGAAUAAGUUAAUGUAUUUUAUUCUGGCCAAGAGAAGGAAGCUUUGGGAUUUAAAUCAAAAGAGAAAUUGUUGGUCUUAUGCUCCUUUUGCGUGUGUGUGUGUGUGUGUGUGUGUGUGUGUGUGUGUAAGGAGGAAGACAAAGGUUUAGAGACAUGAAGUGACACAAAAGCAGAACCAGGACCAAAUCUAGGUCUCCCAAAUCCAAAUUCAGAGGGCUUCCCACUCUGCCUUUCAGUAGACUGGAUACUCAGCCAGCUGUAGGUGCACCCACGUCAGGAGAACAAAGACAACACCUAUAUCUUCAGGUAGACAUAGUCUUUUAGGGUCAGCAAUCAAGUGUGAAGUUACUUAUUAUGUUUCCAAGGACCUGAUAUUAUUCCAUGUGCUUUCUGGCAUUUGCCUCUUUCAUCUUUUCACUCCCCUCAUUAAAAUUCUCAGUGGCUCCCGAUUGAAUCCCAAGCAAAGAGACCGCACAUAAUUAGCAUUCAGUACAUUUAAAAAUUAAUUAAUGAUUAAAUGAAGGCAGAAAUAACUCUUAUUUCCUCCCCCCAGCAUUCAAAGCUCUCAAUAAUCUGAUACUCUAAUUUCCAGCCUUCAUAGACAAGCCCCUUUGCUCUAGCCAGCUUGCUUUCUUCUCUGCUCCCAGAAGAUCGCAUCUUUGUAACUCUGCUCUUGUUGUUCCCUGAGAAGUUUCUUCCCUUCUCUCUCUUAUUUGUCCAAUGUGAAGUUGCUCACAUCUUCAAGCCACCCCUUCUUCUGGCUUGGUGCACAAAUAAGAGCAAUAAGAAUUUGGAGUCUGGAAGAUGUGGAUGGAGGAGAAGGAAUCUCCAAAGCAUCCUGAAAUAGGACUGUAAGUUAGGAAGGAAGCCUGGAGAAACAAGAAACCAAGGUGCUAUGUCUGCUUUUGCCACGCAGAGAAAAUGUGACCUUGGGCAAGUCAUAAACCCUGCAGCUGAAGUUUCCUCAUUUAUACAAUGGCGCUUUAUUUUUUAAAAUUUUAAAAUUUUUAAUUUUUUUGCUUUUUAGGGCCACACUCAUGGCAUAUGGAAGUUCCCAGGCUAGGGGUCUAAUUGGAGCUGUAGCCACCGGCCUACGCCACAGCCACAGCAAUGUCAGAUCCCAGCCACAUCUGCCACCUACACCACAGCUCACGGCAACACCAGAUCCUUAACCCACUGAGCGGGGCCAGGGAUUGAACCCCCAACCUCAUGGUUCCUGGUCGGAUUUGUUAACCACUGAGCCAUGAUGGGAACUCCUAAUUGUCUUUUCUAUCUUCCAAACAAGGAGACGAAGUUCCACUUUUGUCCAUGAUGGAUUAUCUAGUAGCUGACUUGCCUUCCUGCUAUAAACACCAAUCCCUUAGACAAAAUAUACUUAAAAAUGCUUUCAGACAUUAGAGAAUGGGCAGUGCAGGAUUGUGAUUCCCGAUAGAAAGGAAGCAAAUGAGGUGAGCUCUAAGUUUGCCCUGGCUUUCUGCCUGAAGGCACUUCCCUAAUGAUGGCACAAGGAAGAUGUACCCAGGCAGAACCACUGGUCUCAUUGAACUGAGGGGAGGCCAAUGUCACUGGAAUUUGCCGGAGUAUCAGAGAGGGGGGAGCUAAGUAGAGAAAGCACUCCAGAAGUCAACAGUGGGGUACCCUUGAGACUUUGGCUGAAUACUUAGUUAUGCCUGCAUAGGAAACAAUUACAGGAGUUCCCACUGUGGCUCAGUUGGUUACGAACCUGACUAGUAUCCAUGAGGAUGCAGGUUCGAUCCCUGGCCCUGAUCAGUGGGUGUAGGUCACAGAUGCAGCUCAGAUCCCCUGUUGCUGUGGCUGGGGCAUAGGCCAGCAGUUGCAGCUCCAAUUUGACACCUAGCUUGGGAACUCCAUAUGCCGUGGGUGUGGCCUUAAAAAGGGAAAAAAGAAAAGAAAACAAUUACAUAUCACCAGACAAAGAAAACUGUAAUUCCUCCAGUAGAACACUUCCCAGAGCUCACAUAGGUCUUGGGAAUGUUUGGGUUAUGACUAGCCAAAGGUCAGAAACUCUUCUGAACAUCUGGAUCAUUCAGUGAAUACUCCAGAAGGGUUAUGCAUUAGUAGUAGGGCUAAAUUAGCCCAUUCGACUUCCCCCAGAAAAACUUAAAAACAAGGCUCAAAAGAUGCAAGCUGUUUCACAAAUCACUGUCUGCCAGAUCUAACUUCUACACACUUUAAAUGAAGAGAACAAAAUCUAGACACUCAAUAACCUAACAUUCUUGAUGAUCAAUGUACUGUGAAGGUUAAGUCGUCAGGGUUCAACCAGAAAAAUAUCUAUUUCUAUAGAUAUACAUAUAGAUAUAGAUAGUUACAUAUCUAUAUACAUAUAGAUAGUGUGAUCAGGAUGUCUAGAUAGAUAUGUAUCUGUCUAUAUCUAUAUCUAGAUAGAUAGAUAUAAUAAGUUUAUUAGAAGAACUGGCGUGCCCAAUUACGGGAGCUGGCUAAGUCCAUAGGGUAGGCAGUCAGAGAACAGCACAGUAGGCUAGAGGCACAGGAGUGAAAAUGAAGAGAAUUUCAGAGCCAUUGUUUGGGAUAUCUGAGCUCAGGAGAGGCAUAAGCCCUUUUUUUUUAAGGCUUCCAAAUGAUUAAGUCAAGCCCACUUAGAAUAUUCUCCAUUUUAUUAACAUGAGGACAACUAAUUAUGAACUUGAUAACAUCUGCAAAAUUCCUUCAAAAUGGCACCUAGAUCUAUAUUUGAUUGAAACUCUGGGAGAAGUUAUGUGUGUUUCUUACAAAAUAGCUGUUGUUUCCCUUCCAUGCGCUAAUUCCCAUGACAGCAUAGCCCUUGUACUUUACCCUAACUGGAAACAUCCUUUAAAGGGAAUUCCAGGGACUAGAGUUCAGCCCAGGCAAUCUGACAUAUCACAAAGCCAUCAGAUUCAGCAUCAAUUAAAAUAAAUUGCUAGACAUUCACUAAAGCAGAAAAAUGAAGCCCAUUAAGGAGAAAAAUGUAAACAGACACAGACAUGACAGAGAUGAUGGCAUUAAUAGAAAAGGACUUUGAAAGAGCCAUCAUAAACUUGCUCAAAAAUUUAAGGGAAAAUCUGAAGAUAAUGAGAAAAAUUUAAGGUAUUAAAAGAAAUCCAACAGAACAUUUAGAGCUGAAAAAUAAAAUAAAAUGUUUACAGUGAAAAAUUCACCCAAAUGGACUCAACUAUAGAUUAGACACCACAGAAGAAAAAAGAAAAA